rnacentral:ncRNA from 2 species
UGGUGAGGUAGAGGUUGCGAAAUUCACGAUUAACGGUUAACGAGGCGCAUGACACGCCAAUGACUAACCGCGAAAAGGAUGCUCGCCGAAGUGAAAAUAGGUGUCAGACUAUUUAAGCUGGGGCUGUUAUCGAAAGAAACAGAACUGCUGUUUUUGCCAAUAGCUUGGCGGGACGGGUGUGCUAUCUAAUGC